rnacentral:lncRNA from 1 species
UUGUUGUACUGGGAUCCAUGACAUGGGCAGAUAAAUUUUUUCUCAGCAGCAUUCCAUGGGACAACACAACCCAGGUGGGUGCAGACAGCAUUAAUGCCAUAGGUUGCAAGAGUUUUGUCAUUCUCCACAACAAGAUACGUAGGGUCUCCCUGAAAAAAUUGAGGCACCAUAACUUAUUUGCAGAACUAUAAAUUUAUCUCGCAAAAGCUAUCCAUAGAUGCUCAAUUUAUAACUUGAUUAUCAUAACUAUCAAUGUAUCUUUACCUCACAGCAUAUAGAAAUCCUGGAUGCUUGUAACUAAAACAAUGACAAAAGUCUAGAAGCAGAUGAACCAUGUGAUACACAUGAUGAGUGAUAUCAAGGAGCCAUACGCAAGAUGAUAGAAAGGAACUCGAAAACAACCUAAAAUCCAUAAUAGAAGGCGCCAAGAAAAACAUGGCCAAAAAGGAAUUUUGUCUUGAACUAAGUUUUGAAGCUAAUGGAAACAAAAGAAACAUUCCCAAAAAUGUUGUCAUCACAAAGAUAACCAAGAUUGAACUAAAGUUGCUUGAACUAAGUUUGUUGCCAAGUAUUACGUUUGCCUUCAAGUUUCAUAUAUGUGAUUCAUUUAUCUUUCCAGGGAACUCUCUUUGUUUGCAACCACUUGCACUGUCUCAUGACGAGAGGAUGAAUUUUGUUUACGGGACCUUGCAUGACAAACAGCUUCUUCGCUAGCUAAGUAUUUGAUCAUUAAUCACUUCUGGCUUGCAACAGUUUUAUGUAAGCACUUUUAAGAAAAUGAGCUUGUAAGGCAGCAGUUCAGAGACAAAAACAAAUCAUUAUAUUCCCAAGUCCAUCAUAAAGUUUAACAUGAUCUCUUUGUUGCAUAAUCAAGCUGAUCAUAAACAUGUCUUUUACAUACAUGUUCCACUCUAUCCAUAUAAAUCAAUAAUACACAAAAGAUACGCAAGUGCUAAUAUCUUAACACUAGAAAACUCAACCAAGAACAUUAAAUUCUAAUACGUUAUCAUAGCUGCUGCCAUGUCGAAAGACUACCAAGGUGAUUGAAAUCAUUACAAAUGCAAAAACAUGGGACCUGCUCUUGAAAAAAAGUCAUUCUUAUUUCAUGCUGAAGAAUGUUAUGCAUUCAUAUCAUGAGGUCACAAGCAGCAUGCAUAUACAAAGUUCACGGAAGCUCCUGUCAUCUAUUGUUUGAGAUUGGUUCUCAAAUAUUUGUAUAUGUGAUGCUGUGCCCACCCAAACAAAAUACACUUCUGAUACUAUUUAUACUUUAUUUUCUAAUUACAACAUAAAACAAAUUCUCCAUAUUCUACAAGAAAACAUGACCAACUUAUGAUUGAAAGCAUAGCACUGGGGACUAACCAAGAUGCAGAGAAUAACAAUGAAAAAUCAUAGACACAUGAAAGUUGUCAACCACCAAUUUUAACAUGUAAAUUUGUCAUUUAUUUUUUGACUGACACAUAGAAACAAUCCAGAUGAUCAUAGGGCAGCUAUGAUCUUAACAAAUAGAUACUUCUAAUCAUUCUGGCUAUUUUUAUAGAUUUCCAGGGAAUCUACUUUAUUUUUCAAGCAAGCCACAGAGAACAGAAAAGAGUUUCAGCCAUGUCUAGUGCUGCAACGUGGAACAUCUUUGUCUAUCCAACAGGUCCCAAGUUUAAUUAUAUCUCCAAACUAUAAGCAAGAUUAGGAAUUUGAAAAAUUCUUCACAGAUGUGUCAAGUUUGACUCAUCUAGAUUUAAUUAUCCUUCAUAUCCAACCACACUAAUGUCAGAGACAUGAAUCAACUACAGAAAAUGAUAGAUAUCUCAAAGAGCACUUUUAAUUUAGCAUUGCAAAUAGAAAAAUGUACCUUUAAACCCUGGGUAAGUGUUCUAUCACCAGGACCAUGAGUCUUAAGCCAUCCAUCUAGAGUAACAUCAUUUCCAAGUGCAUCUUUUGCAACGGUUCCACCUCCAGCACCACCUGAACUGUAACAUGUUCCACAAAACAUAAGUAUCCACGACAAAAUAACAAAAAUAGAAUAAGUGAGCUACGAAACUGAAUGAUUACUUAUUUUUGAGCAGUGAAAUAUGACACAACAUUUCCUUUCUCAACUUAUAGACGCUUAGCUCUCUCAGUUUCCAUAUGCGGCUAGUUACAUGCUGGACAAGAUCUAACUUAUAAACAAAGGAACAUUAAGCAAAAUGAUAAUAAAAGUAAACAAAAUUUAUCCAAUCUCUUCCCGGAAAAUCACUCAAAGCAUUUGGAACUUUAAGCUUUGGAGAAAAUAAAUUCCAACUCUUUGCAUUAUCUUCCUUUGGUAAGACUUAAUCUAAAUAAUUUUCAAUUUACUUUCAUGCUUAUUUGCAUACACUGUCCAUACAGACCAAAAAUCAACCCGGACGAAGAAAAGAAAUGGUUUCGAGAGAAUUAGACACGAUCUGCAGGCUCCAGGAUAAACAAGUUUACAACAGUGAAAGUUGAUAGGAACGUGCACUUACAGGGAAAAAUGCUGCAGAAUUUUCAAUGGUCGAACGAAUGCAUCUCGAGUGAUGAUGCAGAGCAAUUUUUAACACCUUUCACAUUCAGUAACUCAAAUUACAUGAAAAUAUCUGGGCUAAUUUCAAUCAAUUUUCAAUCAUCAACGCAAACAACGGAAGUAAGCAGGGUCCGUAAACAGUACUAACCAUGCCAAGAACAGAAAUGAGAAAAUGAACUAUGCUGCUGCUAAUUUCCAAGCGAAAGCAAACAAGGUGUACAAUGUUUACCCGGGUGGCACAAAGAAGUACGUAUAGGGAAUCAGCAUGCCCGCGGUGGGCAGCGACAAGGUUCCAAGAAGAAGAAGGUUCAACAGCUGCCUCUUUCCCAUGUCCGGCACCCUGUCGGCGGGGAU